UACAGAGGGUGCAAGCGUUAAUCGGAAUUACUGGGCGUAAAGCGCACGUAGGUGGCUGGGUAAGUUGGAUGUGAAAUCCCCGGGCUUAACUUGGGAAUUGCAUUCAAGACUGCCUUGCUAGAGUGUGGAAGAGGGAAGCGGAAUUCCAGGUGUAGCGGUGAAAUGCGUAGAUAUCGGAAGGAACACCAGUGGCGAAAGCGGCUUCCUGGUCCGACACCGACGUUCAGGCACGAAAGCGUGGGGAGCAAACAGG
rnacentral:rRNA from 1 species